ensembl:lncRNA
GAAGGGGGCGCGCUCCCCAACCCCUGGCAGCACCCGCGGCCCGUGGGGUUCGCUCCUCGCCCCAUCCCCACGCCCGCCCAGCCGACCCCACCUCGCCGGGCCUGUUGUUUGCGUGGGGGAGAGAGUGCAGAGGCCGGGUGACUCGUGUUGAAGGAGAAGGCAACAAAAAAAUUUUUUAAAAAGGAACAGAUGACUUCAUUCUCCUCGGGAAGGCUCUGUCCUACGUGGACAAUUUCCUGGGGACUGUGGUGGAACAGCCCCGUUGCCGCUGGAAGCACACGAAACUAAACCAGAAAAAAACCAAAAAAUUCUCGGUCUUGCCUGAAACCCAGCCAGGGGAGGCUGGUGGCGCGUGAACCGCGAGGAGGGUCGAAUUCUUCCGCUUGCGCUUGGGGCUUGGCUUCCAACAAACCUCCCCACUUAAAACUCCUGUACCCUGAGAGAGUGAGCAAGUGGCCCAACGUCACACAGCCAGGUUUCAUUCUGCCCAGACACCUGCAGGGACAAACCCAGCAGAGACCGGGGAGCAGAGCCAGUGUUUGGACCCGGGGCCUCGGAAGAGGGGUGAGGCUCAGCUCGAGGCCAGGCGAGGGGAGAUGAACUCGGCAGAGUCUCUCUGGUUCCUGAGUGGAUCACAGCCUGGAGAAGCCUGCGGAAAGAGUCAUCAGGAUUUGCCAAAGGAUCGGAUGUGGGGGUGGAAGAAAGAGAAAAGUCAAGGAUGACUGCCGUGGCACGAACAGUGGGAGGUACCAUUUCCCAAGAUGAAGAAGACUAUAGGAGAAGUGGGGGUGGGGCAGGGGGUAUCAAGGGUUGGCAUCUGCACACGGGAUGUCUGCAAAGCCUAUCUGAUACUCACAUAUUGUGUGCUUAGAGCUCUCAGCUGUCAUUUAAUCCACACCACAGAAAGAGACUGAGGCACAGAAAACAAACCUAUGGCUACCAAAGGGGAAAGGCUGGGAGGGGUAAAUUAGGAGGUUGGGAUUAACGUAC